GUUUUUUUCAAAAUAUGCUCA
rnacentral:miRNA from 1 species